rnacentral:snoRNA from 1 species
CUCCUCUUGAUUCCUUACCCCUUGGACCUAAAUAAUUGUCUAAGAGGCCAAAAACGGGUGGAAAAGUAAAACUGAAGUGGACUGAAGUCUCAAGAGACUUACAAAUUCAUUUCAAACAUUA